rnacentral:rRNA from 1 species
UACGUAGGUGGCGAGCGUUGUCCGGAUUUACUGGGCGUAAAGGGAGCGUAGGCGGACUUUUAAGUGAGAUGUGAAAUACUCGGGUUCAACUUGAGUGCUGCAUUUCAAACUGGAAGUCUAGAGUGCAGGAGAGGAGAAUGGAAUUCCUAGUGUAGCGGUGAAAUGCGUAGAGAUUAGGAAGAACACCAGUGGCGAAGGCGAUUCUCUGGACUGUAACUGACGCUGAGGCUCGAAAGCGUGGGGAGCAAACAGG